AGGUCUAAAAUCUAGUAAGCUUUGCGUAAACGUGAAGGAAAAAACAAUUGGUGGAAAUACAAAUACCUAAAAAAAUAAAAUUGGUUGAAGGAACCUGCGAUACAUUGAAAAUCUGAUUCUUUUUUCUCUCUCUUCAACUUGGUGCGGCGGCGGCGAAGGAUACGGCGUAGUUGGUGGUGCUACUGGUGGUUGCCGGUUAUGUAGCGACUCUUAUUAAGGGAAAAAUCUAAUGUUUACCCACCAGAUUUUCGCCGGAGAAGAUGGCGGAGUUAGCUGUGUUGAUUGAUCUGAUUCUACCGUUUUUUUGAAGCAAAUAUUGUAUUUGUUCAUACCCAAAUUUCAGGAAAGGUCUUGUUGAUUUGAUCAAUAGAGAUGUCAUUCAAGAGCAUUGUCCGCGAGCUGAAGGAAAUGAAAAAUGGGAUAGGGUUAUCAAGGAGAGGAGAAGUAGAAGGAAGGCACUGGCGCAACAGAACUCGGUCACAUAUAGCUCCUGAUGUGGUUCCUUUUGAUCCCAAUCAACAAGGCCAAUGGGCAAAUAUACCACCAGAACUACUUUUAGAUAUUGUCCGCAGGGUUGAAGAGAGUGAGACAUCAUUUCCUGCUCGGACAGCGGUAGUCUUUUGUGCAUCUGUUUGUAAGUCAUGGAGGGAAGUUACAAAAGAGAUUGUCAAGACUCCUGAAGAAUGUGGUAGGCUUACAUUCCCCAUUUCACUAAAGCAGCCGGGUCCCCGUGAAUCCCCAAUUCAUUGCUUUAUCAAACGGGACAGAGCUAAUUCAGUUUAUCGCCUCUACUUUGGUUUGACUCCAUCCGAGGAUGAGAGCGAUAAAUUGUUGCUGGCUGCCAAAAGGAUCAGAAGGGCAACAAGCACAGACUUCGUAAUUUCAUUGGUUUCAGAUGAUUUUUCUCGAGCUAGCAGUACGUAUGUUGGAAAACUGAGAUCUAACUUCCUUGGGACCAAAUUCACCAUAUAUGAUAACCAACUUCCAAGUGAAGCAGCCAUUCCACAUCGUGGUAGACUUAGUCGACGAUUCAGUACGAAGCAAGUAUCUCCGACAGUAUCUGCGUGCAACUACAGUAUAGCCACCGUUUCCUAUGAACUCAACGUUCUCCGUACACGGGGACCUAGGAGAAUGCAUUGCGCUAUGCAUUCCAUCCC
rnacentral:misc_RNA from 1 species